GGUUAAGCGACUAAGCGUACACGGUGGAUGCCCUGGCAGUCAGAGGCGAUGAAGGACGUGCUAAUCUGCGAAAAGCGCCGGCGAGGUGAUAUGAACCUUUGACCCGGCGAUGUCCGAAUGGGGAAACCCAGUGYRAUUCGUYRCACUAUCGUUAACUGAAUACAUAGGUUAACGAGGCGAACCGGGGGAACUGAAACAUCUAAGUACCCCGAGGAAAAGAAAUCAACCGAGAUUCC
rnacentral:rRNA from 1 species